rnacentral:sRNA from 1 species
UACUCGUCAACAACUUCAGGUGUAGAGU